UGACGGGUAAAAUUGUAAUUUCUCAUCCUAUUUUAAUUAGUUUAUAAAGAAAAAAACCUAGCCAUAUGUGCACUACUCCGAUCACCCCCUUUCUACCCAGACACCUUCAACAACUGCCGUCUGAGUCCUCCAAUCACCUCUCUCCGAUUCCGCCACUAUUCAUCACCUCCUCUGACGCCAUUACACCAUAAACCUCUGUCGCACACCACCGACAACCAUCCUCCACCUUCGAUUUUCACCUACCAUCAUCGCACAACACCACCAUCAACCACCACUAUUCGUCACCUCCCUCUGAUUCACCACCACCGUUCACCUGAAACCCCCAUCAACAACAUCUACUGCUGGUUUCUCCUCCACCGUUCACCCUAUCGAGCUUAACAAAUCAACAGUCGCAGAUUGACACGGAUUCGGUGAGAUGGGUUUUGGAGAUAAAGCCUUUCUGACAACAGAGAUGAUGCUAUGGAUAGAUCUUGUGGUGCUGGGCUCAAUUAUUGGAAAAGUUGAAAACUGAAAAGAUUUUUAGACCAAACAAAAAUCUGGGAAAUUUUUCAUGGAAGAGAGAUCAAAGAGGUAAGAACAAGACUGUUUCUGAAAUAAAAAUUUGCAGAAAAUUAUGAAGAUGAGAGAGUGCACAGUAUGAAGAAGAUGAAUAGAUGAUCAAUAUAUAUAUAUAUAUAUAUAUAGGGUUGGGCUCUAUAAGAAACCCCAUCUUUUUUAAAAAACCUUGGAAACCCAACCUCAUCCAUUGAUUCUCUUUCAUCCAACUUGAUCAAUGGCUCUCAUCAUUUUAGUAACAAUUAUAAUUAAAAGAAAUAGUAUAAUGCACAUUUGAAAGUCUGUGAGGGCAUUUUCGGUAGAACAAAACCCACCUUUUAGCAUUGAAAAUGACAAAACUCACUUGUGUCAUCAUCUCUCUCCUCUUUCUUCUAGUCAAAUCUUUCAAUUAACUAUUAUCUCUCUCCUCUUUCUUCAUCAUUGAAAAGAAGAAAGCUUCAUGGUCUUCAAUGGUGAUCCUUCAAUGGUGAUCUUCAUUUGAAGAUAAUUUUAGCGUCAUGUGGUCUGAAAAAAUCACAAAGACACACGCACGAGUGUGUGUGUGAGAAGAGCGAUGACAAGAUGAAUGUUUUUAGAGAGAGAAAGUUGAUGUUUUAGAUAGAGAAACAACAAUCUUUAUUACAAAGACACACGCACGAGUGUGUGUGUGUGAGAAGAAGGUUUGAAGAUCUUCUUCGUGUUCAUCGGACGGGUAUAGAUCCGGUAAGUGUUCUUGAAAUAUCAUUUCACACUUGAUUUUUUGUUGAAAUGGUUGUUAAUAUGUUUUUGUGUGCUGAAAGUGUUUUAGUAUUGGUUAAUGGGGUAUCCAUGGUUAAUGUUAAUGUAUUUUAAAUAAAUCAAAAACUUUAGGAUGAGAUUUUGAACGGGUUUUUUUUGUUGGUUUAGUUGCUUGUUAGGGGCUUUUGAUCUUAAAAAUAGCUGUUUUUUUGUUGGUUUGAGUUGCUUGUUUGGGUUUUUGAUCUGAACAGUAAGUGUUUUUUUUGUUUGGUUACUUGAUUCACAGACUCAGGCCCAUAACACGUGUUAAGCCCCCCUGUUAUAUUGUUAUAUAACGUGUUUUGAUUUACAGAAACAAACCCAUAAAGAUAUUCAAUUGAGAAGCUGGAUGGAUGUAGGAGAAGUUAAUGUGUGUUCUAGUAAUGGUUAAUGUUAAUGUAUUUUAAAUAAAUCCAAAACUUUAGGAUAAGAUUUUGAACGGGUUUUUUUUUUUUUGUUGGUUUGGUUGCUUUGUUUGGGGCUUUUGAUCUUAACAAUAUUUUUUUUUUGUUGGGUUGCUUGAUUUAUAGAGACAGACCUGUAACAUGUGUUAAGCACCUGUUAGAAUGAUAUAUAACGUGUGUUGGUUUACAGAAACAGAUCCAUAAAAGAUAUUCAAUUGACAAGCUGGAUGGAUGUAGGCGACGUUAAUGGCGGGGACAUUGAAUAAGUCACAUCCUUUGGGAAAGAAGUCUUCGUUCAUUUAUAACAUGUGUUAGUGGUUCAUGCUGUAACAGAACACCAUGAUGUAAACCUGACAUGUGUUCAUGUAUAACAUGUGUUAAGCGCCUGUUAGAAUGAUACAUAACAUGUAUUAACCUUUUGUUAAUUAAAAAAAAGUAAUAUCUAUUUUAUUUUUGUUGAUGUUUAAAAUAUCCGAUAAUGUGGAUACUGAGCGUAAAACUUGUACAAGUAACAAAUGUACAAGUUAGUAUGUAACGUGUAAUAUGAAACGAGCCAUUUAUGGUAACACAUGUAACGGUAUAAUAUGAAACGGGUCAUUUGUU
rnacentral:lncRNA from 1 species